ACUCAGCAAAUAGCACCAAAUGAAGACGGAGAAUAACAUAUAGAUUUGCCAUAAGAAAAAAUUGAUCUAAAUCCAUAUAUCAAAUCUGCUGAUCAGAGCUCUAGAGAAAUGCUUCACAAUCCUUAGCAAGCACUUGCAGGAAGUUUGGGCAGAAAGAAGACCUUCCUGAAGGCUUAUAUUAAUAAAUCAUCUUGUCAACUGUUUCUCAAUGUGGAAUGUGUUCCUCAAAAAUCUGCUGAGAAAUCAGGAUCUCCGGGGAUUUACGUGCACCUUGCGCUGUGAUUACCAGCAAGAGCCCCGCCUGAGUAGGUCCUGAAGGGAGUCUCUUCAAUUAAGGGUCUUCCUUUUUCUUUUCAUAUAAGUUGAAUAGAUCUACAUGUGAGCAAUAUUGACUGAGGUUCUGCACUGUAUUUGCAGAACUAGCUUUGCGGGGAAUAAACUUGACUAACUGG
rnacentral:lncRNA from 1 species